rnacentral:rRNA from 1 species
GGGGACGUUUCCGGAUUAUUGGGCGUAAGAGCUCGUAGGCGGUUUGUCGCGUCUGCCGUGAAAGUCCGGGGCUCAACUCCGGAUCUGCGGUGGGUACGGGCAGACUAGAGUGAUGUAGGGGAGACUGGAAUUCCUGGUGUAGCGGUGAAAUGCGCAGAUAUCAGGAGGAACACCGAUGGCGAAGGCAGGUCUCUGGGCAUUAACUGACGCUGAGGAGCGAAAGCAUGGGGAGCGAACAGGAUUAGAUACCCUGGUAGUCCAUGCCGUAAACGUUGGGCACUAGGUGUGGGGGACAUUCCACGUUUUCCGCGCCGUAGCUAACGCAUUAAGUGCCCCGCCUGGGGAGUACGGCCGCAAGGCUAAAACUCAAAGGAAUUGACGGGGGCCCGCACAAGCGGCGGAGCAUGCGGAUUAAUUCGAUGCAACGCGAAGAACCUUACCAAGGCUUGACAUGAACCGGAAAGGCCUGGAAACAGGUCCCCCACUUGUGGUCGGUUUACAGGUGGUGCAUGGUUGUCGUCAGCUCGUGUCGUGAGAUGUUGGGUUAAGUCCCGCAACGAGCGCAACCCUCGUUCCAUGUUGCCAGCGCGUAAUGGCGGGGACUCAUGGGAGACUGCCGGGGUCAACUCGGAGGAAGGUGGGGACGACGUCAAAUCAUCAUGCCCCUUAUGUCUUGGGCUUCACGCAUGCUACAAUGGCCGGUACAAAGGGUUGCGAUACUGUGAGGUGGAGCUAAUCCCAAAAAGCCGGUCUCAGUUCGGAUUGGGGUCUGCAACUCGACCCCAUGAAGUCGGAGUCGCUAGUAAUCGCAGAUCAGCAACGCUGCGGUGAAUACGUUCUCGGGCCUUGUACACACCGCCCGUCACAUCACGAAAGUGGUUUGUACUAGAAGUCGCAAUUCGAACCGCAAGGACGAUAGCGCCCAAGGUAUGAACCAUGAUUGGGGUGAAGUCGUAACAAGGUAAC